AUCUUGGACAAUGGGGGAAACCCUGAUCCAGCCAUGCCGCGUGAGUGAUGAAGGCCUUCGGGUUGUAAAGCUCUUUCAGAUGUGAAGAUGAUGACGGUAGCAUCAGAAGAAGCUCCGGCUAACUCCGUGCCAGCAGCCGCGGUAAUACGGAGGGAGCGAGCGUUGUUCGGAAUUACUGGGCGUAAAGCGCGCGCAGGCGGUCCUGCAAGUCUGAAGUGAAAUCUCGUCGCUCAACGACGGGGCUGCUUUGGAAACUGCGGGUCUGGAGAUCGGUAGAGGCUGGUAGAAUUGCAGGUGUAGCGGUGGAAUGCGUAGAGAUCUGCAAGAAUACCCGUGGCGAAGGCGGCCAGCUGGGCCGAAUCUGACGCUGAGGCGCGAAAGCGUGGGGAGCAAACAGG
rnacentral:rRNA from 1 species